UAAUAGGUGUUAGGGGGUUUAAGCACUCUUGUGCCGCCGCAAACGCAUUAAGUAUCCCACCUGGGGGGGUACGACCGCAAGGUUGAAACUCAAAGGAAUUGACGGGGGCCCGCACAAGCAGUGGAGUAUGUGGUUUAAUUCGAAGCAACGCGAAGAACCUUACCAGGGCUUGACAUAUAGAGGAAUAUACUAGAGAUAGUAUAGUACUUCGGUACCUCUAUACAGGUGGUGCAUGGUUGUCGUCAGCUCGUGUCGUGAGAUGUUGGGUUAAGUCCCGCAACGAGCGCAACCCCUGUCCUUAGUUGCCAGCACAUAAUGGUGGGAACUCUAAGGAGACUGCCGGUGAUAAAUCGGAGGAAGGUGGGGAUGACGUCAAAUCAUCAUGCCCUUUAUGUCCUGGGCUACACACGUACUACAAUGGCCGUGACAGAGAGAAACAAUACAGUGAUGUGGAGUAAAACUCUAAAAGCGGUCUCAGUUCGGAUUGAAGGCUGAAAUUCGCCUUCAUGAAGCUGGAAUUGCUAGUAAUGGCAGGUCAGCAUAUUGCCGUGAAUA
rnacentral:rRNA from 1 species